rnacentral:tmRNA from 1 species
GGGGGCGUACCGGUUUCGACGGAAGCAUUUGUGCUUAGGAGGCAUGCCGGGGGCCACACCACCCGCAAUCGGCGUGGAACAACACAACUGCCAAUGCGCAGUAUGCUUACGCUGCCUAAGAACUAGGUAGCGCGUCUCCUCUGCCCGGCCCGCAGGGCGGAAAGGGACGUCAUCAAAGCGGGCUGGCGCGGAGCCGAGUGCCUGAAGGCUUCGGGCGAGACUCCUCCACCAUUCGGGCGGGGGAAACAGGCUAGCUUCAAGCCCGUUCUUGCGGAUUCCUGAGGGCUGGGAGCGAAAUCAUGAGCGAACCCGCUACGCAUGUAGUCUCCUAACCGCAGGGCUUUUCGGACGGGGGUUCGACUCCCCCCGCCUCCAA